rnacentral:rRNA from 1 species
UUCAACGGAGAGUUUGAUUCUGGCUCAGGACGAACGCUGGCGGCGUGCUUAACACAUGCAAGUCGAACGAUGAAGCCUAGCUUGCUAGGUGGAUUAGUGGCGAACGGGUGAGUAAUACGUGAGUAACCUACCUUUAACUCUGGGAUAAGCCUGGGAAACUGGGUCUAAUACCGGAUACGACCAAUCUCCGCAUGGGGUGUUGGUGGAAAGCGUUAUGUAGUGGUUAUAGAUGGGCUCACGGCCUAUC